GAGAAAAAAAACAGCCACACAAAACAUCUUUACCACAGAACAUUUUAAUAAAUUCAGACGUGGACUAGAAAAACUGACAAAAGGCAUUUUUUGUAUUAAAUAAAUUAGCUUAACUAAUAACAGGUAGUUUCGUUCCACUGCAGGACUUCUAUGUUACACUGACAUCGCCAUGGACUCUCUCUCUAACGACUGACAGAUGUCAAUCAGGCAGACGCUCAACCGGAUCAGCAGAAGUAAGAUCAUAAUAUCUUUCUCAGGUCAAUAAGUUCAUCAGCGAACUAGUGUUUAACAUUCAGAUAGGACUCUCGACAUGGAGUUGAGAAUGUGAUUGAACACCAAAGCCUUAAAAAAAAAAAGAGUCUUUCAGUGUGAACUGAGGAAUACAGAACAAGUUAUUUCAAGGCAUUUCUGAACGUUUAUAAGCUGCCUCAAUGGUCCUGGCUUUAGGUAGUAUGACACUACUUGUCCAACCGCUCAUUUGAAAAAGCAUUUUAGGGCCCCGAUUCAAAUCAGCCGUGUCAGGAGGUUCUGCGUUAGAGCUAUCUAAUCCACAAGCGGUUCCAGGUCUAAUCCACAAGCGGUUCCAGGUCAAAUCCACAAGCGGUUCCAGGUCAAAUCCACAAGCGGUUCCAGGUCAAAUCCACAAGCGGUUCCAGGUAUACCGGACAUUGCCAGUGGCUGCAUGAAGUCACAUUAAGAGAAAUAUCAUGCAGCCUUGUUUACAAUUUCGGAUGACAACCGGCAUUUUCUUUCGGAUGUCGAGAAAGGAAUCAGGAAAAAAUAUAUAAUUUCCUGGUGUGAUACAAGGGACGAUAUUUUGGCGUUUCGUAAUAUUUAAUCAUUCCAGAAUGUUCCCCUCUAUCUGGACUCCUAGAUGAGGCUUCAUUCGUCUUCAUGGAAACAAGUGUUAGAAUCGGUUCGAUAGAAAACAAAACAGUCAGAAGAAGAAGAGAAGUCUCCAGGUCUUUGGUUCUGUUCUGUUCAGGCAUUUUGAUUGGUCCACAGCCAGGGCAGGGGUUAGAGGUGAGGGGUGCAGUACAGAAUCCAUAUCAGUCCUGGGGGGGGG
rnacentral:lncRNA from 1 species